rnacentral:rRNA from 1 species
GACGAACGCUGGCGGCGUGCUUAACACAUGCAAGUCGAACGGAAAGGCCUCUUUCGGGGGGUACUCGAGUGGCGAACGGGUGAGUAACACGUGAGUAACCUGCCCUUGACUUUGGGAUAACUUCAGGAAACUGGGGCUAAUACCGGAUAGGAGCUCCUGCUGCAUGGUGGGGGUUGGAAAGUUUCGGCGGUUGGGGAUGGACUCGCGGCUUAUCAGCUUGUUGGUGGGGUAGUGGCUUACCAAGGCUUUGACGGGUAGCCGGCCUGAGAGGGUGACCGGCCACAUGGGGACUGAGAUAGGGCCAAGAGCCCAAGGGGAGGAAGCGGGGGGAAAUAUUGAACAAGGGGGGGAGGCCUAAGCAAGAACGCCGUGGGCCGGAUGACGGCCUUCGGGUUGUAAACCGCUUUCGCUCAUGACGAAGCUUUGUGUGACGGUAGUGGGUAAAGAAGCACCGGCUAACUACGUG